CCUACGGGGGGCAGCAGUGGGGAAUAUUGCACAAUGGGGGAAACCCUGAUUCAUCUACUCCUCUUUAUUGAAGAAGUAAUUCUUUAUUUAAAGCUCUAUCAGCAGGGAAGAAAAUGACGGUACCUGAGUAAGAAGCCCCGGCUAACUACGUGCCAGCAGCCGCGGUAAUACGUAGGGGGCAAGCGUUAUCCGGAUUUACUGGGUGUAAGGGGAGCGUAGACGGCAGUGCAAGUCUGGAGUGAAAGGCGGGGGCUCAACCCCCGGACUGCUCUGGAAACUGUACGGCUGGAGUGCAGGAGAGGGAAGUGGAAUUCCUAGUGUAGCGGUGAAAUGCGUAGAUAUUAGGAGGAACACCAGUGGCGAAGGCGGAUUACUGGACUGUAACUGACGUUGAGGCUCGAAAGCGUGGGGAGCAAACAGGAUUAGAUACCCGAGUAGUC
rnacentral:rRNA from 1 species